UCAGCUUGUUGGUGAGGUAAUGGCUCACCAAGGCGACGACGGGUAGCCGGCCUGAGAGGGUGACCGGCCACACUGGGACUGAGACACGGCCCAGACUCCUACGGGAGGCAGCAGUGGGGAAUAUUGCACAAUGGGCGAAAGCCUGAUGCAGCAACGCCGCGUGAGGGAUGACGGCCUUCGGGUUGUAAACCUCUUUUAGUAGGGAAGAAGGGAGCUUGCUCUUGACGGUACCUGCAGAAAAAGCACCGGCUAACUACGUGCCAGCAGCCGCGGUAAUACGUAGGGUGCAAGCGUUGUCCGGAAUUAUUGGGCGUAAAGAGCUCGUAGGCGGUUUGUCGCGUCUGCUGUGAAAUCCCGAGGCUCAACCUCGGGCUUGCAGUGGGUACGGGCAGACUAGAGUGCGGUAGGGGAGAUUGGAAUUCCUGGUGUAGCGGUGGAAUGCGCAGAUAUCAGGAGGAACACCGAUGGCGAAGGCAGAUCUCUGGGCCGUAACUGACGCUGAGGAGCGAAAGCAUGGGGAGCGAACAGGAUUAGAUACCCUGGUAGUCCAUGCCGUAAACGUUGGGCGCUAGAUGUAGGGACCUUUCCACGGUUUCUG
rnacentral:rRNA from 1 species